rnacentral:rRNA from 1 species
CAGUCGCCGCGGUAAUACGUAGGGUGCGAGCGUUAAUCGGAAUUACUGGGCGUAAAGCAUGCGCAGGCGGUUGUGUAAGACAGGUGUGAAAUCCCCGGGCUUAACCUGGGAACUGCGCUUGUGACUGCACAGCUAGAGUAUGGCAGAGGGGGGUGGAAUUCCACGUGUAGCAGUGAAAUGCGUAGAGAUGUGGAGGAACACCGAUGGCGAAGGCAGCCCCCUGGGCCAAUACUGACGCUCAUGCACGAAAGCGUGGGGAGCAAACAGGAUUAGAUACCCCGGUAGUCCCUGUCUCUUAUAC